GAUGAACGCUGGCGGCGUGCUUAACACAUGCAAGUCGAACGGAAAGGCCUCUGCUUGCAGGGGUACUCGAGUGGCGAACGGGUGAGUAACACGUGGGUGAUCUGCCCUGCACUUCGGGAUAAGCCUGGGAAACUGGGUCUAAUACCGGAUAGGACAAUGGUUUGGAUGCUGUUGUGGAAAGUUUUUCGGUGUGGGAUGAGCUCGCGGCCUAUCAGCUUGUUGGUGGGGUAAUGGCCUACCAAGGCGUCGACGGGUAGCCGGCCUGAGAGGGUGUACGGCCACAUUGGGACUGAGAUACGGCCCAGACUCCUACGGGAGGCAGCAGUGGGGAAUAUUGCACAAUGGGCGCAAGCCUGAUGCAGCGACGCAGCGUGGGGGAUGACGGCCUUCGGGUUGUAAACUCCUUUCGCUAGGGACGAAGCGUUUUUGUGACGGUACCUGGAGAAGAAGCACCGGCUAACUACGUG
rnacentral:rRNA from 1 species